rnacentral:Y_RNA from 1 species
UGCUGGUCUCAGUGCAGUGGUGUUUACAACUAACUGCUCACAACCAGUUACAGAUUCCUUUGUUCCUUCUGUGCUCCCGAUGCUUCACUUGACUAGCCUUUU